rnacentral:lncRNA from 15 species
AAAACCCAUACAGGAGGACACUGCAAUGUGAUUAAAACCACCCAGAAGAUCAUUUGUACCCACAUCAGUGAUUUACACCCCACCUCGAGAUACUAAAAGGAUACUAGAAGAAAGACCAUCACAGCCAUGGCCUGUCCACACUGCUGCCAUCCAGCAGCUUCUUCUCUCAGGCUGUAAGGCUGCUGAAUUCAUUGUCAGCAAUUCAUCAUGUAAAAUUGGAUUUUCUAUUUUUAUUUUAUUUUUUUACUGUAGCCCAGAAUGGACAAACCAAACACUGGCUGUGGGGCUGUUUUGGGAGUUUUACAACAUCUGUAGUUUCUCCUACGGGCUUGGAAGGCUGUGUUGUAUUUAGUUAUUUGCUAUCUGUAACUUCACCACUAGAUGGCACUGAAUCCUCCACAGCGGUCCUUUAAAUAACCCUGGAUCCUCGUAUUUCUGGAGAAUAUUCUCACUGAUAAUACUGUUUGUUUACUGUUGUGCAAUGAAAGAGAUUCUAACCAACAGACAGUUUUGGUGGGGUGGACUCCAAGUACACAUUGAGACCAUGAACAGGAGAAGUGGCUGUGGAAAUAUUGUUGAUGGAUGUUAUCUUGGAACAGUGAAGAACAAAUCUCAACAUCUUUCCUCUGUUCUUUCAGGUGGUGGCACUGAUUUUAGCACUGGUGCUAUAACUGGCAUUGUUGUUGGUGUCAUUGCUGUCAUUGUUGCAGUUGUUGUAUUGUGGAUGAAUCGUAGAAAGAUCACGACGGACUGUGCAAGACCAAACACGACAGGACACAACGGGCAGAACAGGGAAGGUAGUCAGGAGGACAAUGCAGAGGACAAUGCAGAGGACAAUGCAGAGGACAAUGCUGAAGACAAUGCAGAGGACAAUGCUGAGGGUAACAAUGAUGAGGACAGUGAUGAGGGUAAUGGUGAGAAUAUAGGUAUGCUCAACUUAAGAAAUGUCAACUAGCAUUUGAUGAUGACUCUUGAUUCUUUGACUCAGAUACUGAAUGAAAGAAAGGCUUUUCUAAGCUGUAAUUAUUUCAGCAAAAUCUACUUAAAGUAUCAGAUGUAGAGACCAACGUCUCAUUGUGCAGUAAAAUGGUCCCUGUCAGUGUUUUACUGUUAUAUCUGAUGUUUGGCAUUAAUAUUACUGCUGCAUUAAUGUGUCUGUUGCAUUGUAACUCUUUAUACACUGUCUCCGUCCCGUGAGAACCACGUAUCUGUAAAACGACCAAACACCAGCCUGGUUUCAGCGUUGUGACGACACAUUUUACAGAUAAUCCAAGAGGGUUUUUUAAUUAUUUUUAAUUUAAUUUAUUUUUUAAUUAUUCUCAUCGAGGAACACUUCCUCUUCCAGUUCAUCACAAACAUUCAACAUCAACACAGCUGGAGAUAUGCGGUUUUCAUUGCACAGGAAGGUAUUAAAAGCUGUAUGAGAUGUAGAAGAUGAGAAGUUGUAUAAAAAUAAAAGUAAAAUUGCACUGAAGUUCAGUAUUUGAGUGCACACAGACAACAAGCAACUGACCUGUGAUAACUGUCAGUAUGUGUAAGAUAUUACAGGAUAGACAUUACAUUUUAUACUUUAAUUGAGUUUUUUAUUUUUUUUAUUUUUACACAAAUAUCUGUAUUUUCUACUCCUCCAGCUUUAAUGCAUUUGAAGGGAACUAUUGAUUAUUAUUAUUAUUUGCGUCAUUGGAUAUCUUCCCAACAUCAAGACAAAACAGAGGAGAGAGGGAAAUCGUUUUACUCUCUUUACUAUAUCUUUACUUUUAUACUGUGAGUCCAUUUUCAGUACCAGAAUUAGUACUUUUAGUGUUUUUUAUCUGUACGAAUAAAGAAUUAUGUACUUUUGCUGAAUGAGGGUCACACAGAGCAGAGUUAUGUGUAAUGUUUGAAGAAACACUUGAGCAAAUACAGACAAGUUCAACCAUUUCAUCCAGAACUUCUUUCCAUGUGAAUGUUGAUUGUGUAAUAUUCUUGAUUAAAAUGCAGCUGCAGGGAAUUGUUCAGAAGUUCUUCCUGAUGUGUUGAUUGUAUAAACCACUGCAGGGACAGAGUUGGUGUCUCAGGACCUGGUUUUAACUAGAAUGAGUCUUAUCUGUCUAAUUGAACCUUCUCAUUGUCAGUUUCCAGCUCCCUCUAGUGACUUGUUACUGUAUAGGAUUGAUUUACCAGAGAGAGAAAUAAAAAGCUUUUUUACUUAAUUUUGUGUUUUUGCUUAUGUUAUCUUGUUUUUACUGCCCUGUGAAGAACUAACAUAUAUUUUAAUACACAUUGUACUACUACUAGACUGCAUUUUAUAUACAGUAUAUUGUUCUUAUUCAACCUUUUGACCAAAAUCACUUAUAACAGCUGUCAGUUCUGUAAACUGUGAAUCAUCUGGACACUAGGAGGCUGAAACUGUGAUUGUUGUUUGUUAAUAAAAAUGUUUUUAACUUGUACCUGACAUUUUGUUCUUAUUUGGUCUGAUAUUUUGGGGAAGUGCAGAAUCUUUAAGUUUAUUGCAGCUGACCAAUUAAUGUUCUACGACACUGAACUGAAAGAAGAAAAUCAAAGUCAGUAUGAGUCCUAUUUAUACUAUUAUUGUGUAUAACUU